AAAUGUUUAAUCUGGACAGAAAACAGAUGCGCUGUUGCUGUUGAUUUGAGAAAUGAACAGCAAAUGUUUUUGAUGUUGUUGAUUCUCUUCCACGUGUUGCGUUAUCCAGAAAGAAUAACGAACAUUGGGAAGACAUUGGUUUAUUUGUAAAAAUUUGUAUUUUUCAUGUGAAUUUGGUGGAGACAGCAGAGGACAAUGUCGAAUACAAUCCAACACUGUCUGCAUACCGAAUGUGUUUGCACGGGCCUGCUGUUAAAGCUGUACGCACAGUCUGUGUGAUUGAUGACACAGAGACCGGUCACUGCUUUCUCUCAGCGAUCAUGGGGGAGACCUGUGGCCUAUUUUUCGAGUAAGCUCGAUCCGGUAGCAGCAGGCAUGACAAAAUGCCUGAGAGCUGUUGCAUCUGCAGAAAAAGCUAUUUUAUCUUCAAGGGAAAUUUUGGGGUACUCUGAUGUGACUUUGCUCGUGCCACGCUCGAUCUCUGUGAUCCUGUUGGAACAGAAAACAUCCCAUUUGUCAACCGACAGAUGGCUCAGGUACAAUGCAAUUCUAUUUGAAAUGCCAAACAUCACGAUUAAAAGAUGCACAGUGUUAAAUCCUGCUACACUGCUCCCUACGAAGCAGGAUGGGGAAACAACACAACUGUGUUGCCACAUUUGAACAGGUCUGUACACCAAGAUCAGAUUUAAAAGAAACCCCCUUAGAAAAUGCUGACUUAAUUCUAAUCAUUGAUGGUUAAGCAUCUAGAGACCCAAAUAUUGGCAAAAACAGAACAAAUUAAGCUGUAACAACUGCAUAUGCAACAAUAACAUCUGGAGCGCUCCCCGCGCAUUGCUCUGCGCAAGCGGCUGAAUUGGUAGCAUUGACAGAGGCUUGCAAAAUUGCUAAAGGGCAAACAGUUACCAUCUACACAGAUUCUCGUUAUUCUUUUGGGGUUUGUCAUGAUUUAGUGGCAUUGUGGAAACACAGGAAAUUUCUAAAGUCCGAUGGCAAGACUGUUCUAAACCAUGAUAAAAUAGCAGCAUUGUUUGAAGCAAUUUUGUUACCAAAGUCAA
ensembl:lncRNA